GUGGGUAUAGCUCCGUGGUAAAGCACACGCUUAGCACGCAUGAGAUCCUGGGUUCAGUGCCCAGUACCUCCA
rnacentral:tRNA from 1 species